UCCCAGUAAAAUCCAAACUUCUUACCAUGGCCAGCAGGACUCCACAGGAUCUGACCCCCUUCUUCCCUCAAGCCCUCAUCUCCAUCACCUAGCCUGGACUCCCUUUGCUCCAGCCACACCUGCCUUAUCUUCCCAGAGAGAGAGAUAGCCAGCGAGAGAGGGAACACAAGCAGGGGGCGUGGGAGACGGAGAAGCAGACUCCCAGCGGAGGAGCCUGAUGCGGAGCUCGAUUCCAGAACGCCGGGAUCACGCCUUGGGCCGAACGCAGAUGCUUAACGACUGAGCCACCCAGGCGCCCCACACGUUGUGCAUUUUGGAAAGAAGAGCUCUCCGUAUCGUCACUCCUUAACGGUGCUGGCUCUCGUGUUCAAAAUGUUUCCUUGUCUGUUAAGUCAGUCACCAGAACUUUAAAAUCCCAGACCCACAUAAUAAAACCAGACAUCCUGAUUCAGUUCCCAACCUCCAAGCUCCCCCAGAGUUUUAGCAGAAAUACCAUCCAACUGCAGUAAAAUGCUACGAGACUGAGCCCAUGCCGGCACUGUUCUAGUGCAAGCCGUCUGAGACAUUUAAAAUCCAAGCUAACUACUUUAGUUAGUGUGGAUUAAAUAGUGAAGACGCGCGUUCCUAUUGUGUCGCCACAGAGUAACACAAUGGUAGAGAAUAAAACUGAGUAAGAAAUUAGUAACUACAGGAGGCGAGUGGGAAGUUGUGAGGGAACACUGGAGGACAUGAAAGUUGGUGACAGUUUAUGACUUCCAACUUCCUCCUCCUCGAUCCACACGUUCGACAUCUCUUCUAUUUAUCAACCAGGAUCAAGACUGAUUUGGGCUUAGACAGGACACGAAGCCGACUGCUCUCACCUCGCAGGCAACAAAAUGUCAUCCUCGGACUUCUCAUGUAACCACCUUGGGUUCUCCUUCUUGAAACCUCCCAUUCUUUCUACUCCUCAGGUGCUUCACUGACUCCUUCCCUCCAUCCCUCAGGCAUGCCACAGCCCAUCCAGCCAGCCUCGUGGCAAAGCCCAGGGGUUGAAAAGCCCCAACCUCUGGUUUCUAUUUCCAAAUGAGGACCUAACUCUGGGCCUAGUGACUCGAGCACGGGGCACCGGAGGAUCGGUGAAGCACAGCCUGAGAGCCCCAUGGCCCCCAGGACCCCUCCCAAAGUCAGAGAGUGAUAUGGGGCCCUUCCAGCCCACAGACAUGUUACAUGAUCCCUCACCACCCAAAGAGGGCAGGGGACCGGGGUGUCAUACUGAUCCAAACCAAAUUACAAGGGGCAAGGAGAGUGCAGGCACGUGUCUGGAUGGUCCUCUGUGUGAAUUCCAGGCUGCUGAGUGGAAGUAACCUAAGGUAGUACAGACAGCAGGAUUCGAAAAGCUGCUUCCCACCAGCCAGGCAGGGGGAGGGGCACAGCAGGACCCUCAGUGACAGGAGGGGACUUAGGACAGCAGAUGCUGCAGAGCCAAGUCGCUCUUUCUGGCCCCCAAAGGCAGUGCCAUUAAUUAGAGCACUAGGAGAAGCUCUCCUUCUGUCAGCACAUUUCCACACUCAAGACUCCCCGACUUGCCAGCUAGGGAGCCAGCAAAGAGGCUGGAAGCCUGGGUUUGGGUUCCAGCUCCACCACGACCCACUGAGCCCUCGGGCUUCUGCACUGACAGCUGUGUGAGCUGCAGCACAAGGGCCAGUUUUCGACUGGCAGUGAACCCGGGCCUGCUGUGGCAGGUAAGCAUGGCUCACGGCUACUGCCUGGGCCACACGCACUCCACCUCCUUGCACCAGGAUCCCCUGCGAGCCCGACGCCCGACGCUACAAAUGCCUCCGCCCAAAGGCACAGGACUCCAGCCUUUCUAACCGGCCUGGGUGGGGCCGGCUGUCCUUAUCUGCUGCACCUUCACUUCUUUCUGUUCUAACGGCGGUCCUGAGACACAACUCACACACCAUACAAUCUACCCAGUUAAAGUGUACAAUUCUAUGGUUUCGGUAUAUUCACAGAGCUGUGCAGCCAUCACCAAAUUCCGUUUUUAUUGCCCCAGAAAGAAACCCUGUAUCCAUUAGCAGUCAUGCCUCACUUGCUCCCACCUGCGCCACACCCUGGCAACCACCCAUCUGCUCUCUGUGGCGACAGAUCUGCCUGUUCUGGGCAUUUCCAACGACAUGGCACUGUACAGUUCGUGGUCAUGUCUGUCUGGCUUCUUCCACUCAGUAUCAUCUUUUCAAUCACCUUAUUUUAAAUUAACAACAUUGCUUUUACAAAUUACAAAGUCCGGUCUCGAUUGCCCAUAUCGCUGGCAAUCGAAAACAGCAAUGCAAACUGAAACGCACUGAAAACCUUCAAUCUUCAUUUAGACUUCCUUUUACAAAAGCUGUUAGCUCAUAAAACAACUGGGGACUCUGAACUUCAAAUGGAUUUCCUCUUAAAAAAAAAAAAGGAGGGGCGCCUGGGUGGCUCAGUCGGUUGGGCGUCUGCCUUCGGCUCGGGUCAUGAUCCCAGGGUCCUGGGAUCACACCCCGCAUCAGGUUCCC